rnacentral:rRNA from 1 species
UGCUUUACACAUGCAAGUCGAACGGUAACAGGGAGCUUGCUCCGCUGACGAGUGGCGAACGGGUGAGUAAUGCAUCGGAACGUACCCAGUCGUGGGGGAUAACGUAGCGAAAGUUACGCUAAUACCGCAUACGUCCUGAGGGAGAAAGCGGGGGACCGUAAGGCCUCGCGCGAUUGGAGCGGCCGAUGUCGGAUUAGCUAGUUGGUAGGGUAAAGGCCUACCAAGGCGACGAUCCGUAGCGGGUCUGAGAGGAUGAUCCGCCACACUGGGACUGAGACACGGCCCCAGACUCCUACGGGAGGCAGCAGUGGGGAAUCUUGCGCAAUGGGCGAAAGCCUGACGCAGCGACGCCGCGUGAGUGAUGAAGGCCUUCGGGUUGUAAAGCUCUGUGGAGGGGGACGAAUAAGGGUUGGCUAACAUCCAGCUCGAUGACGGUACCCCUUUAGCAAGCACCGGCUAACUCUGUGCCAGCAGCCGCGGUAAGACAGAGGGUGCAAACGUUGUUCGGAAUUACUGGGCGUAAAGCGCGU